UUCAUCACCCAGCAGGGGAGUCACCACAAACUCAAGGUAGUUUUCCCAGAGGAGGACUAUCCAUUGUGUUCAACCCUUGCAAUUUCCCCAAACAUGGGAAUCUCGACUGCAUAAUUUGCGGUGACUGGGGACUGCAUUUGCGCUCUCCCCUA
rnacentral:snRNA from 1 species